rnacentral:lncRNA from 1 species
UAUAUAUAUAUGUGUGUGUGUGUGUGUGUGUUAUUGUGCUCCACUCUACUAUUUGCUAUGCCUUUUUAAGCCUUACAAAGAUACCGAGUGAUUCAUUGGAUAUAAAAUUGCAGUCCAAGUUUUUUACGAAAUCUAAAGAUAAAUAAAUCAACAAAGUAGCCACAAAGAAGGAUUGUUGAAGACAGGAACAUGGUAUGGUUUCUGGCUCCUAUCAAUGGUACCCUAAACUUUAUUUAGCAUAUAUGCCACCUAAAUUUACCUAGGCUAGGUGCUAUAGUGUAGAGACAAGGCCAACUGUCGGACAACGACGUGGUUGGUUCUUUUGUCGACAACAAUGCAUGUAUGUAGGUCCCGAAAAUUGUCACGCAUCGAUGUGGCACGCGUUGUUUGGUGCCAACAAAUCCUUGGGGUGUUGUUAGGUCAAAAUACUAUUCUAACCAUUUAUUUGUAUUAUCAUUUAUACCAUAUUUUUUAUAAAAAUUUGAUCUAUAUGCGUUGACGGGCUUUACUUCUAUUAGAGAGAGUCUACCUCCAUAAAAAAGAUAGUACAAAUAGGUAGUAAGUAUAACUUUGCUCAUGUAGGGCAAUAUAGGAAUGUCAUUUGCACUUGCUCAGCUUUGUAUAAAUUAAGCAACUUAUAUAUUUCACUCUCUUAGAGUCAUUUGAUAACCGUAUAGUAUUCAUUUUUUUGAAAACUAA